rnacentral:rRNA from 1 species
AUGCUGCCAGGCCAAUCCUUCUCCUCUGAUCCCCUAUCCCCGAAGAUUGGAAUUAAUUUCAUGAAAAUCGGCCAGCCACAGCUCCAAGAAUACGCGGAGGAGGUGGCCCGGCUCGGCGUCGGCGCCGUCCAGCGCGGGCCACGGGCCCGCUUCCAAGUGCAUCUGCGCGUCGGCUACCCACGCCGGGUCCUUCAAGUGCCACUUCCACCGCACCAACUCCUAGGGCCACGGCCAUGGCCAGGGCCAAGGAAGCCGCCCUUCUUCGCCCCCUUCACCGGUCGCGGCUAA